rnacentral:rRNA from 1 species
GAUGAACGCUGGCGGCGUGCCUAAUACAUGCAAGUCGAGCGAACAGACGAGGAGCUUGCUCCUCUGACGUUAGCGGCGGACGGGUGAGUAACACGUGGAUAACCUACCUAUAAGACUGGGAUAACUUCGGGAAACCGGAGCUAAUACCGGAUAAUAUAUUGAACCGCAUGGUUCAAUAGUGAAAGACGGUUUUGCUGUCACUUAUAGAUGGAUCCGCGCCGCAUUAGCUAGUUGGUAAGGUAACGGCUUACCAAGGCGACGAUGCGUAGCCGACCUGAGAGGGUGAUCGGCCACACGGGAACUGAGACACGGUCCAGACUCCUACGGGAGGCAGCAGUAGGGAAUCUUCCACAAUGGGCGAAAGCCUGACGGAGCAACGCCGCGUGAGUGAUGAAGGUCUUCGGAUCGUAAAACUCUGUUAUUAGGGAAGAACAAAUGUGUAAGUAACUAUGCACGUCUUGACGGUACCUAAUCAGAAAGCCACGGCUAACUACGUG